GCCAGGCGUGGUGGCACACACCUGUAAUCCCAGCAACUCCGGAGGCUGAGGCAGGAGGAUUGUGAGUUCAAAGCCAACCGCAGCAAUGGCAAGGACCUAAGCAACUCAGUGAGACCCUGUUU
rnacentral:SRP_RNA from 1 species